rnacentral:rRNA from 1 species
ACGGGACCCGCACAAGCGUGGAUGAUGUGGUUUAAUUCGAUGCAACGCGAAAACCUUACCCACCUUUGACAUGUACGGAACCCUUUAGAGAUAGAGGGGUGCUCGAAAGAGAGCCGUAACACAGGUGCUGCAUGGCUGUCGUCAGCUCGUGUCGUGAGAUGUUGGGUUAAGUCCCGCAACGAGCGCAACCCUUGUCAUUAGUUGCUACAUUCAGUUGGGCACUCUAAUGAGACUGCCGGUGACAAGCCGGAGGAAGGUGGGGAUGACGUCAAGUCCUCAUGGCCCUUAUAGGUGGGGCUACACACGUCAUACAAUGGCUGGUACAAAGGGUUGCCAACCCGCGAGGGGGAGCCAAUCCCAUAAAGCCAGUCGUAGUCCGGAUCGUAGUCUGCAACUCGACUACGUGAAGUCGGAAUCGCUAGUAAUCGUGGAUCAGAAUGUCACGGUGAAUACGUUCCCGGGUCUU